ACGCCCGUAGCUCAGUGGAUAGAGCACUGGCCUCCGGAGCCAGGUGCGUAGGUUCGAUUCCUAUCGGGCGUGCCA
rnacentral:tRNA from 1 species